GAUGAACGCUAGCGAUAGGCUUAACACAUGCAAGUCGAGGGGCAGCAUGGUCUUAGCUUGCUAAGGCUGAUGGCGACCGGCGCACGGGUGCGUAACGCGUAUGCAACUUGCCUCACAGAGGGGGAUAACCCGUCGAAAGACGGACUAAUACCGCGUACACUCUAUGUUGGGCAUCCAAUGUAGAGGAAAUGAAAUUCGCUGUGAGAUAGGCAUGCGUCCCAUUAGCUAGUUGGUGAGGUAACGGCUCACCAAGGCGACGAUGGGUAGGGGAACUGAGAGGUUGAACCCCCACACUGGUACUGAGACACGGACCAGACUCCUACGGGAGGCAGCAGUGAGGAAUAUUGGUCAAUGGGCGAGAGCCUGAACCAGCCAAGUCGCGUGAAGGAUGACUGUCUUAUGGAUUGCAAACUUCUUUUAUACGGGAAUAACAAGAGUCACGUGUGGCUCCCUGCAUGUACCGUAUGAAUAAGCAUCGGCUAACUCCGUG
rnacentral:rRNA from 1 species